GGGGAGGUGACGGAGCGGUUGAACGUGCUCGUCUCGAAAACGAGUAAGGCCUGAAACCUUCGAGAGUUCGAAUCUCUCCCUCCCCGCCA
rnacentral:tRNA from 1 species